rnacentral:lncRNA from 1 species
UGGUAAGUGUCUACACUUGAUUACCAGCGCUGGAUCACCAGCGCUGGAUCCUCUACACCCGAGACAAAACGGGAGUACGGCCAGCACUGCAAACAGGGAGUUGCAGCGCUGGUGAUGCCCUGCAGAUGUGUACACCUCCUAAGUUGCAGCGCUGUAACCCCCUCACCAGCGCUGCAACUUUGUGAUGUAGACAAGCCCUCAGUGUGGUGAAAAAAGCAGCAGCUUAUCUGUGGAGAGUGGCAAUGUGCCUGGUAGGGAAAGUCUGGAUGAGCCUAGGCAGCCUUGUGAGCCGAUGGCUUUGUCUAGUCAGCAGUGUGGGAAGACAAGGAUAGUGGACGAUGAGUGUCCCUAUCCCUUACCAGUUUCCUGUGUGGAGAAAUGUGACAGUGGAGGGAAUGUGCCUGUGUCUGUCAGGGGUAUUGACUUGCCUAUGGAGGAAGCUACCCCGAUCUCCAAGCAGUUGUCUGUGAACAGCCCUGUGUACUGGGACAAGGGAAGUGAGAUCCCAAGCUGUGUGUCUGGUAAAGGAGAAUGUGUCUCCGGCUCUUCUGUAUCUGUGCAGCAAACAGAAGGUGCCUUUCAGCCUGUGAUGGUUGAGGGUAAUUCAGUUGUCUCAGAGUUGGUUGUAAAUACAACUAAAGCCCAGGAAGGGAAUGGUCCUAAGUUUGUGUCUGCUGGGGAGAAUGGCCCUGUGACUAGGUUGCAUCCAGUUAGUGUCGUAGCAAAAUCCCAGAGACCAGACAAUUCUGGUGCUUGUAGUUUGCCAGUUGCUGAUGUGUGGUUGGAAAAGGGUGUAGCAGCUCUGUCUGCUCAGGGUGAUACCCUAGCCAGGGCACAAGCAGAGCAUGAAGGUGAUUUAAUUGUGUUACCUACUGACAGUUUAACAACUGGUAACAAGGAGGAAAUGAUUCCUGAACUUGUGUGUGUUGAGCCUGACAACUUGCAAGUUGCCAGUGACUAUAAGGAAAGUUGCCGAGGGAAGGAGAGUACCUCUAACCUUUUAUCUAGUGAGUCUAUAAGUCUGCCUGAAAGGGAAUUGUGUAGAAAUCUGCCUGAUGGGCCAAAGGUGAUUCUGAAUGUAAG